AACUUUAUGCGCUUUGGGAGGGGCCUGCGUAACAUUAGCUUGUUGGUGAGGUAAAAGCUCACCAAGGCUUCGAUGUUUAACUGGUUUGAGAGGAUGACCAGUCACACUGGGACUGAGAUACGGCCCAGACUCCUACGGGAGGCAGCAGUAAGGAAUCUUCCACAAUGGGGGCAACCCUGAUGGAGCAAUACCGCGUGCAGGAUGAAGCGUUUCGGCGUGUAAACUGCUUUUAUCACCGAAGAUUAUGACUGUAGGUGAAGAAUAAGGACCGGCUAACUACGUG
rnacentral:rRNA from 1 species